rnacentral:rRNA from 1 species
UGCGAACUCCUACGGGAGGCAGCAGUAGGGAAUCUUCGGCAAUGGGGGCAACCCUGACCGAGCAACGCCGCGUGAGUGAAGAAGGUUUUCGGAUCGUAAAGCUCUGUUGUAAGAGAAGAACGAGUGUGAGAGUGGAAAGUUCACACUGUGACGGUAACUUACCAGAAAGGGACGGCUAACUACGUGCCAGCAGCCGCGGUAAUACGUAGGUCCCGAGCGUUAUCCGGAUUUAUUGGGCGUAAAGCGAGCGCAGGCGGUUAGAUAAGUCUGAAGUUAAAGGCUGUGGCUUAACCAUAGUACGCUUUGGAAACUGUUUAACUUGAGUGCAGAAGGGGAGAGUGGAAUUCCAUGUGUAGCGGUGAAAUGCGUAGAUAUAUGGAGGAACACCGGUGGCGAAAGCGGCUCUCUGGUCUGUAACUGACGCUGAGGCUCGAAAGCGUGGGGAGCAAACAGGAUUAGAAACCCCGGUAGUCCUAUC